CCUACGGGAGGCAGCAGUGGGGAAUAUUGCACAAUGGGGGAAACCCUGAUGCAGCGACGCCGCGUGAGUGAAGAAGUAGUUCGGUACGUAAAGCUCUAGCAGCAGGGAAGAAAAUGACGGUACCUGACGAAGAAGCCCAGGCGAACUACGGGCCAGCAGCCGCGGUAAUACGUAGGGGGCAAGCGUUCUCCGGAUUUACUGGGGGUAAAGGGAGCGUAGACGGCAGCGCAAGUCUGGAGUGAAAUCCCAUGGCUUAACCCUGGAACUGCUUUGGAAACUGUGCAGCUAGAGUGCAGGAGCGGUACGCGGACUUCCUUGUGUAGCGGUGCAAUGCGUAGAUCUUAGGCGGAACACCAGUGGCGAAGGCGGCUUCCUGGACUGUAACUGACGUUGAGGCUCG
rnacentral:rRNA from 1 species